GGGUCCGUGGUCUAGUGGUAAACCGAUUGCAACGGUCUAUAGUGACGCUCGCUUGACAUGCGAGAAAUUGCAGGUUCAAUUCCUGCCGGACCCA
rnacentral:tRNA from 1 species